CCUACGGGGGGCUGCAGUGGGGAAUAUUGGGCAAUGGGCGAAAGCCUGACCCAGCGACGCCGCGUGGGUGAUGAAAGCCUUCGGGUUGUAAAGCCCUUUCGUGCGGAAAGAACUGUUCCGCGGUUAAUACCCGCGGAAUUUGACGGUACCGCAGGAAGAAGCACCGGCUAACUCCGUGCCAGCAGCCGCGGUAAUACGGAGGGUGCGAGCGUUGUUCGGAAUUAUUGGGCGUAAAGGGCGCGUAGGCGGUUGUGUAAGUCAGAUGUGAAAUACUCCGGCUUAACCGGGGAACUGCGUUUGAAACUACACAGCUAGAGUACAGGAGAGGGAAAUGGAAUUCCCGGUGUAGAGGUGAAAUUCGUAGAUAUCGGGAGGAACACCAGUGGCGAAGGCGAUUUUCUGGCCUGAUACUGACGCUGAGGCGCGAAAGCGUGGGGAGCAAACAGGAUUAGAUACCCCGGUAGUC
rnacentral:rRNA from 1 species